AGUACCCAGUACUCUGUUUAGUAUACUUAUAAAUGACAGACAGGGUGAGGGUAAGUUGACAAAUUUCCUUAGCCUUUCUUUAUGUUCUGGAUCAAGAAGUCUGGUAAUGACCACCCUAGAUAAUGUAAUAUCAGAGUUUCACUUGCACACUCCCUGGAUACCGCUGAAAUAUCUUAUGAAACUGGAGUCAUUUGCCGAAGCCUGAUCAUGGUAACAUGUAUUGAUCAACUAUUAAAUUUGGUAAAAAGAUAAUAAAGACAAAUUGACUUUCUGUCAAA